UACAUUACUUAGAUUGGAAAGAUUGUGAAGGUGGAGUAGAGACAGAUAGCAUAGAUCUAAAUUUCAUGGAGUAUCUAAACUUCAAGCUCAAAUUUUUAAUGGGUUAUUCUUUCUCUCUAUGAUCCUUCUUUCUCUUGUCGCGCGCUGCCGUCAAUCAUGAAGGCCAUGGAGGUUGUUUCCCGCUGAUCAUGGAAGUCAUGGAGGUUGUUACGGUCAAUCAUGGAGGUCAUGCAGAUGGUGG
rnacentral:lncRNA from 1 species